CGGGGAACCGCCUGCCUCCCACCGUGUGAGCGGAUCCUGCACGGACACGUACACCGCCGUGUUUGUGCACCUCCACGACAUUUCCACCGCUGCACAUCUGCCGCGGAACCACAACUGAAAGUCGCUGAAAUGAGCUCUUGUGGUGACUUGUUGGGAUCAAACCUGAUUAUCGGAUGACAUCGCGGUCGGCACGUUUUGGACCCUGGAUCUGCCGCUCACUCGCUCGGCGGUGUGGGCCGAUCGCCUUGAGAGGCCGCCUAUCCAUUGUCAAACCUCUUUGACCUGCUCUCUCCUUCAGCCUCUCCUGUUUCCACACAAAGACUCUCUAAUACCAGUGACUUCCCCUAUUCUGCAAGAAAUGAGCACCCGGAAAACCUGGAGUGGAGUCAGCAUUUUUGGCAAUCCCGCACCUCUUUUCGACUUUUUAAAAAAAUACCGUUUUGCUUCGAUGUCUGGAAUAAAAAUGUGUGGUGAACAGAAA
ensembl:lncRNA